GUCCUGGUGGCUUAAUGGUUAAGGGCUCAGCUGCUAACUGAAAGGUUGGUGGUUCAAACUCACCCAGUGACU
rnacentral:tRNA from 1 species